GGGCUCAAGAAAGAAUAGCAAAUUUGAAUCACCAUGGUGCUGGUUUGCAUUGCUGCUGUGCAGCAGAAUCACCUGUGUAAGUAACUUCUGCACCUGUACCCUACCUGUAGGCAUUCUGAUUUCCUCCUCUGAAGAACAUGUAGAGAUGAUUUUGACACCCACACAGGAGGGAGAUCCACUAGGUUUUGGAAGCAAUAGAUCCCCAUUCACUGCUUUGCCUGCAAUUCCUCCCCAUUAUCUCUUUCCUUUAAAAAUCAGCAUAAUUUCCUUGUGUGCAGGUGUGUGCUUGUGUGUAGGAAUGCCAGGCAUAUGAAGAACAACCUACAACUAUUACAGGGAAACUGCCAAGAAUAAAUGUCAGACUUUUCAAAAUUUUGCUUAGGGUGGGCCCAGUGCCCAGGAAAGUGGAUUGGCCUGGAAAACUACAACCAUUUAUAAUAUUCUUUUUAUGCGAAAAGACAUUCUCCUUUCCAAACAAUAAGGUCACAAAAUAGUUUUUUAAAUAAAAUUGGUUUAUAAUUGGAGAACUGCCUAUGAAAUUGGAGAUUUAAAUGUUUAAACACAAGUUAAAUCACAGAUCAGACUGGCAAAGACAUUUUCUGAUGGGUAUACCAAGCAAUCUAGGAACGGUUUACACUAGUUUGAUUGAAAUAUGAACAGAAGAUGUAGCUAUCAGCUUAUGUUUCACAGUACAUAGUAACAGCUCAAGCAAUAGUAGCUAUAUUUUAAGAAAGACAAAGACUAAAGACUGUGGUUAAUGUCUGACACAAAAAAAUCUAAGACAUCAUGAUGGCAGUUUUAGAAACGGUAGUUUACAAAGAUUUGCAAAUUGUUGCCCCUUUUUGUUACUUAGGUAUAAACAGCAUUUUUCUUCUAUACUUUCCUUUUUUUCUGACCCUAAAUGUGAUCUCCUGUGAAUCCAUACACCUCACCUACAUUUCUGAAGGAAUUCCACUCUAAGAGAUUCUGCAGAUGCCAGUUCCUUCUUUCCUGAUAUGAUGAUUUGCACUAAAUGGCAGAAGUCUUCUCAGUAGUCCUCAAGUCUUCAGCCAUAACUGACUUCAGAACCCAGAGUUUUUACUCCACGUCUCUUCCAUUGCUGCUAGCUAACUCAAAUCACCAUCAUCUCUUGUUUGAACAAUUGAAAUAGUCUUUAAUUUGUCUCCUUUCUGCUACUCUUGUCUACUUGUUGCCUAAUGUCAGCACAACAGGGUAGUAAACCUUCUAAUAUCUGGGUCAAUGUCUUAGUCAAUCAUGGACUCCUCCAGUGGUUGCUCAUUUGGUUCAGAGUCAGUGCAGUGCAUAAGAGCACAGGCCCCGGAAUCUGACUAACUAGAAUUGAAUCCCACCUGAGUCACUUUAAUCAUUUGGCAGCUGCAUGACCAUUGGGUAGGUUACAUAAGCUGCCUGUGUCAUGGUUUCUUCACUGAUAAGAUGGGGGACUAACAGCAGCAAUUAGUAUCUCAUAAGGUUGUUUAGAGGAUUAGAUGAAGCAAAAUGUAUACAACACUUUUACAGUCAGGAUUUUUUUUCUAUUUCUCCAGCAAAUAUAAUUCUAGGUUAUAGUAAGUGCUCAGCAAAUAUUUUUCAAGUGAAUUAUUGAAUAAUAGAAUAAACUAAUUCAAAGGGCUAGUAAAAUACAAUGGAGCCAAGAAUUUAGUCCUUAUUAAAUGAUAAAAGUUGUACCACAAACCAGUGGAGGAAAUGAAGGACUUUUUGAAUUGACAUUGUUGAAAAAAUUGGUGGUUUAUGUGGGAAAAAUAUAAGACUAUGGGCUCAAGAGAGAAAGAAAGGUAACCACUGUUUUAUUUUCUGUAUAUUUGAUUGGAUACAAAGUAGUAGAUAUGUAGAAAGAACAAAUCUAGAGAUCCAAUGUAGAACAUGAGGACUAUAGCUAAUAAUAUUGUAUUGUGUUUGGGAUUUUUGCCAAAAAACUAGCCAGGUGCAGUGGUGUGCGCCUGUAGUCUCAACUACUUGGGAGACUGAAGCAGAAGAGCCCGGGAGGCAGAGGUUGCAGUGAGCUGAGACUGCCGCACUGCCCUCUAGCCUGGGAGACAGAGUGAGAUUCUAUCAAAAAAAAAAAAAAAA
ensembl:lncRNA